AGUGGCGGACGGGUGAGUAACGCGUGAGAAUCUGCCUUGGGGUCGGGGACAACCACUGGAAACGGUGGCUAAUACCGGAUAAGCCGAUUGGUGAAAGAUUUAUUGCCCGAAGAGGAGCUCGCGUCUGAUUAGCUAGUUGGUGAGGUAAGAGCUCACCAAGGCAGCGAUCAGUAGCUGGUCUGAGAGGACGAUCAGCCACACUGGGACUGAGACACGGCCCAGACUCCUACGGGAGGCAGCAGUGGGGAAUUUUCCGCAAUGGGCGAAAGCCUGACGGAGCAAGACCGCGUGAUGGAGGAAGGCUCUUGGGUUGUAAACCUCUUUUCUCAGGGAAGAAGCUCUGACGGUACCUGAGGAAUCAGCCUCGGCUAACUCCGUGCCAGCAGCCGCGGUAAUACGGAGGAGGCAAGCGUUAUCCGGAAUUAUUGGGCGUAAAGCGUCCGCAGGUGGCGAUUCAAGUCUGCUGUCAAAGCACGGGGCUUAACUCCGUAAAGGCAGUGGAAACUGAAUAGCUAGAGUGCCGUAGGGGUAGAGGGAAUUCCCGGUGUAGCGGUGAAAUGCGUAGAGAUCGGGAAGAACAUCGGUGGCGAAAGCGCUCUACUGGACGGCAACUGACACUCAGGGACGAAAGCUAGGGGAGCGAAUGGGAUUAGAUACCCC
rnacentral:rRNA from 1 species